AGUUUGAUCCUGGCUCAGGAUGAACCUGGCGGCGUGCCUAACACAUGCAAGUCGAGCGAGAAAAUAUUUGUAGAAUCUUCGGGUGAAAGAAAUAUUGGAAAGCGGCGGACGGGUGAGUAACGCGUGGGCAACCUGCCCUGUGCAAAGGGAUAGCCACUGGAAACGGUGAUUAAUACCAUAUAAAACUUAAAUACCGCAUGGUAAAUAAGUCAAAGAAAUAUCGGCACAGGAUGGGCCCGCGUCUGAUUAGCUAGUUGGUAAGGUAAAAGCUUACCAAGGCGACGAUCAGUAGCCGACCUGAGAGGGUGAACGGCCACACUGGAACUGAGACACGGUCCAGACUCCUACGGGAGGCAGCAGUGGGGAAUAUUGCACAAUGGGCGAAAGCCUGAUGCAGCAACGCCGCGUGAGCGAUGAAGGCUUUAGGGUCGUAAAGCUCUGUCCUUGGGGAAGAAGAAUGACGGUACCCAAGGAGGAAGCCCCGGCUAACUACGUGCCAGCAGCCGCGGUAAUACGUAGGGGGCAAGCGUUAUCCGGAAUCAUUGGGCGUAAAGGGUGUGUAGGCGGUUUGUUAAGCGAGAGGUGAAAGGCUAUGGCUCAACCAUAGUAAGCCUCUCGAACUAAUAGACUUGAGUGCAGGAGAGGAGAGCAGAAUUCCUAGUGUAGCGGUGAAAUGCGUAGAUAUUAGGAGGAACACCAGUGGCGAAGGCGGCUUCUGGACUGCAACUGACGCUGAGGCACGAAAGCGUGGGGAGCAAACAGGAUUAGAUACCCUGGUAGUC
rnacentral:rRNA from 1 species